GGUAAUUUGAUCAUUAAUUUUUUAUCAUUGGGAAAUUCUCUUUGGUAGACAAUAAUCCAUUUUAGAUUACAUUACAUAAUGAUUUUCCUAAUGCUUUUAGGAAAUAUAUGGAUUAUGGAGUAUAAUUUGAUAUGUUGGAGUGGUGUUAAAUUGAUUGUUAGGUUUUAUUAGGAAAUUUUGAAUAAAGUAGAGAUUAUUAGUAACCUUGUUACUUAAUUAGUUGAAUUUGGUAGUAUGUUUUAAUGUGUAAUUUAGGUGGUUUUAUAGUUCUUGACAAAAUUACUAACUUUUAUUUUUUGUUUUAUUUUUUAUUUUUGUAGAUUCAUAUUAUGAAGUGAAGAACAAGUUUAUUAGCUAUUCAAGUGGGAAGUUCGAGACAUUACAUCCAUUAUACUUGCUAUAUUGCUCGAUCAACAAAGAAGUACCUCGUGAUGUCUGUACUACAAAAUAUUAUGAAGAAGGUACAUGGUCGUGCUCCACGGGGUCCUACAUGGAAAUCACCUAUGGUAAUGCC